ensembl:lncRNA
AAGAAGGGUGUGGUCUCGUAGCAUCUGAAGGUGUGAGGGGAAGGGAGUUAGUCAGUGAGCUUUGUGCGCAGUUUGUACGUGGUUCGCGGCAAAAGAAAACCGUUAGUAUGCAAUUUGGGGCUGUGUAAAGUUCAGUAGGAGGAGAGCGGGAAACUCCGUGACGAAAAGAAAAAAAAAAAAAAAAACGUUGGAAGAAGGCUGGGGAGUUCAUACUUUUUGGUUGCUCGAAAGCAACCAAAGAAAGAGAAAGAAAAUAUCGUUUUAUUUUGAUUAAAGACAGAAAACGGAGGGUUUUCAGCCCGUCACGUCGUCGAGUCGAGCGGCCACGAACGAAGAAGGAGAAGCCGAGAGCGCUUCGUGCUACCCGGCAACGCACAAGUUCCCCGGACCUCGCUGGACUUCUCAUGAUGAUGCGCUCCCGAAACGCGAGUGAGACGAUCCCGACUCUUCCUGGUUGUUGCAUGGACAGCAGACGAGGUAAACUGGGGUUUUUUUUCCCCCCCCUUCGCUCCUGAGAGUGAAGCGGCUAUUAUUUUUGGCCUCAACGUGCUCAAGCUCCGAUCAGGCCUGCAACGACGUAGGGUUUUAAGUUCAAAUUAAAUACUCCUAUCACAAUUGCGUUUAAGGUUUAUUUAAGAAACUUCCAGACUGUUUUGUGUGAGGUCUUGUGGUGUUACGUUGUGAAGCCGUUUUAUUUUGUUACUGUUUUCUUUUUGCAUUUAUUUCAGUAAUCUGUUAUUGGGGUUUGGUUUGGGUUAACUUCAGUUUAAACGAUAUGUCUAUUGAACAACAACACAGGGUGAAUUAAUACUUUUUUGUUUUUUUUUCUAUUCUGAAGUUGGUGGUGAUUGUUCAUUCUCUGUACAAGUUGUACCAAAGCUAUGAUUUCCAUGGGCCUCUCAACAUAACAGAGCCAUGGAAUUUCUAGCAGGGGAGUGUGAAAACAGGCUGUUCUCAUGCAGACAAUAGGACAAAAGGAGAAGAUGAUCUGAGGCUGUGACUGAACAAUGCAUCCAGAUAAGAACAAAGGACAGGAUCAUGUUAAAGAAUGAGAAGCCCCCAGUUUGAUCAAGCCUUGGCAUUGAAAAGCAUAAGUGGAUGAAAAUGUCUCAACAAUGUAGUUUACACAUUAGUCAAGUCAAGCUUUAUUGUCAUUCCACUACAUGUGUGGACAUACAGUGGGACGAAAUGUCGUGUCUCGCAGGGCCACGGUGCUGUGUAAAAUAAGCAUAAAUAUAAACAUGCAAUACUAGACCUAAGGACAGCUUUUAGACCUACAUAACUAAUUUACUAAGUCGAUAAUCUGAAAUUAG